rnacentral:rRNA from 1 species
CACGAACGCUGGCGGCAGGCUUAACACAUGCACGUCGAGCGCCCCGCAAGGGGAGCGGCAGACGGGUGAGUAACGCGUGGGAAUCUACCCAUCUCUACGGAAUAACGCAUGGAAACGUGUGCUAAUACCGUAUACGUCCUUCGGGAGAAAGAUUUAUCGGAGAUGGAUGAGCCCGCGUUGGAUUGGCUAGUUGGUGGGGUAAAGGCCUACCAAGGCGACGCUCCAUAGCUGGUCUGAGAGGAUGAUCAGCCACACUGGGACUGAGACACGGCCCAGAGUCCUGCGGGAGGGGGCAGUGGGGAAUAUUGGACAAUGGGCGCAAGCCUGAUCCGGCCAUGCCGCGUGCGUGAUGAAGGCCCUAGGGUUGUAAAGCUAUUUCGCCGGUGAAGAUAAUGACGGUAACCGGAGAAGAAGCCCCGGCUAACUUCGUGCCAGCCGCCGCAGUAAGAC